CCUACGGGAGGCAGCAGUGAGGAAUAUUGGUCAAUGGACGAGAGUCUGAACCAGCCAAGUAGCGUGAAGGAUGACUGCCCUAUGGGUUGUAAACUUCUUUUAUAUGGGAAUAAAACGUUCCACGUGUGGGAUUUUGUAUGUACCAUAUGAAUAAGGAUCGGCUAACUCCGUGCCAGCAGCCGCGGUAAUACGGAGGAUCCGAGCGUUAUCCGGAUUUAUUGGGUUUAAAGGGAGCGUAGGUGGAUUGUUAAGUCAGUUGUGAAAGUUUGCGGCUUAACCGUAAAAUUGCAGUUGAAACUGGCAGUCUUGAGUACAGUAGAGGUGGGCGGAAUUCGUGGUGUAGCGGUGAAAUGCUUAGAUAUCACGAAGAACUCCGAUUGCGAAGGCAGUUCACUGGACUGCAACUGACACUGAGGCUCGAAAGUGUGGGUAUCAAACAGGAUUAGAUACCCUAGUAGUC
rnacentral:rRNA from 1 species